rnacentral:rRNA from 1 species
UACGUAGGUGGCAUGCGUUAUCCGGAUUUACUGGGUGUAAAGGGCGUGUAGGCGGGAAAGCAAGUCAGAUGUGAAAACCAUGGGCUCAACCUGUGGCCUGCAUUUGAAACUGUUUUUCUUGAGUACUGGAGAGGCAGACGGAAUUCCUAGUGUAGCGGUGAAAUGCGUAGAUAUUAGGAGGAACACCAGUGGCGAAGGCGGUCUGCUGGACAGCAACUGACGCUGAGGCGCGAAAGCGUGGGGAGCAAACAGG